CCUGGAGCGCCAGCCAGACAAAUCCUCACAUCGGCAACAUUUCUAAGUUCGAUCUGCUGGUCCACUUUUCCCUUUUCCUGACUCUGUCAUAUAUUUAUUUUUUUCGUAACCGUUUCUUAUGUUUGUGCGAUUGAACCAAUAUAACAUUUGAGCUUGAUUAAAUAGAAAUGAAUGAAAACAUAUUUUAAAGUCCUAGAAAAAAAUGCAUGUAGAUGUGCUUCAUAAGAUUAAGUUAAGUGACUUUUUUCAUUUUUUAUGUACUAUCAACAUAUUUUAGUUCAACAUGUUAGUCUUUACAACUGAAAAAAGCAUGUUAGUCUUUUAUGGGGACCAUGCAAAUAUAAAAGAAAUAUCAUAAUCAGGUGUUAGGAUGAACAUUUAACAUGCAAGGAAAAAAUCAGGACAGUCUCAAACUUAAAGGAGGAUUUUUAUUUGUUUAAUUCUGAAUUAUUUGGCUAUUCGAAGCUUGGGAGCAAAAGGUAUGCACUUGAUAUUGUGUUACAAUACUUUUAUGGAAGAUAAUAUAGAGAAAGCAGUAAACAUACACGUAGAAAGGUUCCACUACCAAAACAGCACCUGCAUCAUAUUUUGCAUACACCUAAUAAGAUGGAGAAAAUGGAGAACUUCUUCUUAUCAAGCCUAACUUUUUUAUCUGCACUAUGACUUGUAACAAAAAACUAUUAGAUUUUAUAAAACAUAAAUUAGAUUAGUUUUAAUCUCAUGUUGUGAUAGUCACCUUCUUCGAAUCUGUCCCUUGCCAUUCUGAAUAUUUUUGCAAGUAUAUUAUCUCUAUCCAGCAUAUUUUAAGUUCCUCGACGAUGUGAGCAUCUAUUGACUCCAUUUUAUCUUCAAACUUCGACGCCUUAAUCCUGUUUCUUACCUCAUUUUCAGUGUCACAGAUGUACAACUGUGCCCAGCGUGGUCUGUCUUUACCUUCAGGUAGUAGAGUGCCUAUUCUGUGGUAAUUUUGCCCAUUCAUUCUAAAACAUAGGACCCACUGCUAUUGUUUUUUUUUUCUAUUUUCCCUCCAAUUGUCGUGAAAGCGAACAUGGAGUUGUACAAUCUGAUAUUUUGUGUAUAUUUUUUUGACCUGUUUCUAUUGUCUUUCCUUAGCGAUUCUGCAAGGUAAGUCGGUAGCUCUCUGAAUGGUGGCAAAUCAACCUUUCCCUGUUGGCAUCAUAGUCCGAAAGAUGGCAUGCUUUUCACUCUACCUGAAGUUCUUUCUUCGUACCAGAAAAUUGCGCCACAUCGGUCACACUUGGAGCUUGGUUUUCCUAUUAGUCCUUUCCGAUAUCCUGUCCAAUUUUCCGAUUUAGCAUCAAUUUAAUGUUAGCAUUGUCUCGUAUUGUUAAUACUUCAAAAAAAUCAAUAGAACUUAUGUAUCUCGUGUUUAUUUCUUUCUGCUUGAUAUUGAUGUAGCACAAUUUUUCUUACUUUUAGUCACACUAGUUGGAUGCCCGUGCGUUGCCACGAGAUAAAAAUAUAUUUUUAGACGGAAUAAAAUACUCCCUCUAUUCCUAUGCAUAGGGCCUAAUGUGUUUGUCGAGGCUAACAUUGACCACAUGUUAAAGCAAUAAUAUAUGGUAAUAUAUGACAGCAAAUUACACAAAGCAUACCAUCAAAUUUGUAUUUGAAACGAGUUUUCAAUGAUAUAAUUUUCAUAUUAUACAUCUCAUAUACUAUUAACCUUAUCAAUAGUCAAAGCAGACUCGAAAAACACAUUAGGCCCUGUAUAUAUGG
rnacentral:lncRNA from 1 species